CCUACGGGUGGCAGCAGUGAGGAAUAUUGGUCAAUGGGCGCGAGCCUGAACCAGCCAAGUAGCGUGAAGGAUGACUGCCCUACGGGUUGUAAACUUCUUUUAUAAAGGAAUAAAGUGAGGCACGUGUGCCUUUUUGUAUGUACUUUAUGAAUAAGGAUCGGCUCACUCCGUGCCAGCAGCCGCGGUAAUACGGAGGAUCCGAGCGUUAUCCGGAUUUGGUGGGUUUAAAGGGAGCGUAGGUGGGUUGUUAAGUCAGUUGUGAAAGGUUGCGGCUCAACCGUAGAAUUGCAUUUGAUACUGGCAGUCUUGAGUACAGUUGAGGUAGGCGGAAUUCGUGGUGUAGCGGUGAAAUGCGUAGAUAUCACGAAGAACUCCGAUUGCGAAGGCAGCUUACUAAACUGCCACUGACAUUGAUGCUCGAAAGUGUGGGUAUCAAACAGGAUUAGAUACCCUGGUAGUC
rnacentral:rRNA from 1 species